rnacentral:rRNA from 1 species
UUCCGGUUGAUCCCGCCGGAGGUCACUGCUAUCGGUGUCCGAUUAAGCCAUGCGAGUCGAGAGGUGUAAGACCUCGGCAGACUGCUCAGUAACACGUGGAUAACCUGCCCAAGGGUCCGGGAUAACCCCGGGAAACUGGGGAUAAUACCGGAUGGGUCACCAGUGCUGGAAUGCUUGGUGGUCGAAAGGUGACGCCUUUGGAUGGGUCUGCGGCGGAUUAGGUUGACGCCGGUGUAACGUACCGGCGUGCCUGUAAUCCGUACGGGUUGUGGGAGCAAGAGCCCGGAGAUGGAUUCUGAGACACGAAUCCAGGCCCUACGGGGCGCAGCAGGCGCGAAAACUCUACAAUGCAGGCAACUGCGAUAGGGGGACAUCGAGUGGCAUCCACCUUGGGUGUCUGUCCAACCGUCUAAAAAACGGUUGUUAGCAAGGGCCGGGCAAGACCGGUGCCAGCCGCCGCGGUAAUACCGGCGGCUCGAGUGGUGGCCGAUAUUAUUGAGUCUAAAGGGUCCGUAGCCGGCUUUGCAAGUCCCCUGGGAAAUCCGGCGGCUUAACCGUUGGGCUUUCAUGGGAUACUACAUUGCUUGGGACUGGGAGAGGUAGGAGGUACUCGGGGGGUAGGGGUGAAAUCCUGUAAUCCUCCGGGGACCACCGGUGGCGAAGGCGUCCUACCAGAACAGGUCCGACGGUGAGGGACGAAAGCUAGGGGCACGAACCGGAUUAGAUACCCGGGUAGUCCUAGCCGUAAACGAUGCCCGCUAGGUGUCACGACGGUCGUGAAUCGUCGUGGUGCCGUAGGGAAGCCGCGAAGCGGGCCACUUGGGAAGUACGGCCGCAAGGCUGAAACUUAAAGGAAUUGGCGGG